CAAUAGCUGAGGGGAUAACGCGAUGGCGUUUGAAGCGAAAGGUAUUGGGUUCGAGUCCCAGAGUGAA
rnacentral:tRNA from 11 species